CUCACCCCCGUUUUCCCCUCUUUUCACCCCAAAAAAACCCAGGUGGGUGUGAAGGGCAACCCGCAAGGCUUCAACCGCGGCCUCGACUGCGACGUCAUCGUGGCCGAGGUUCGUUCCACCAGCCACAAACCCGAUGAAAUCUAUGGGAUGAUCGAACGCCUUUCUCCUGGAACC